rnacentral:rRNA from 1 species
AACGAACGCAGGCGGCAUGCCUAACACAUGCAAGUCGAACGAGACCUUCGGGUCUAGUGGCGCACGGGUGCGUAACGCGUGGGAAUCUGCCCUUGGGUUUGGAAUAACAGUUAGAAAUGACUGCUAAUACCAAAUAAUGUCGCAAGACCAAAGAUUUAUCGCCCAAGGAUGAGCCCGCGUAGGAUUAGCUUGUUGGUGAG